GUUAAGCGACUAAGCGUACACGGUGGAUGCCCUGGCAGUCAGAGGCGAUGAAGGACGUGCUAAUCUGCGAUAAGCGUCGGUAAGGUGAUAUGAACCGUUAUAACCGGCGAUUUCCGAAUGGGGAAACCCAGUGUGUUUCGACACACUAUCAUUAACUGAAUCCAUAGGUUAAUGAGGCGAACCGGGGGAACUGAAACAUCUAAGUACCCCGAGGAAAAGAAAUCAACCGAGAUUCCCCCAGUAGCGGCGAGCGAACGGGGAGCAGCCCAGAGCCUGAAUCAGUGUGUGUGUUAGUGGAAGCGUCUGGAAAGGCGCGCGAUACAGGGUGACAGCCCCGUACACAAAAAUGCACAUGCUGUGAGCUCGAUGAGUAGGGCGGGACACGUGGUAUCCUGUCUGAAUAUGGGGGGACCAUCCUCCAAGGCUAAAUACUCCUGACUGACCGAUAGUGAACCAGUACCGUGAGGGAAAGGCGAAAAGAACCCCGGCGAGGGGAGUGAAAAAGAACCUGAAACCGUGUACGUACAAGCAGUGGGAGCACGCUUAGGCGUGUGACUGCGUACCUUUUGUAUAAUGGGUCAGCGACUUAUAUUCUGUAGCAAGGUUAACCGAAUAGGGGAGCCGAAGGGAAACCGAGUCUUAACUGGGCGUUAAGUUGCAGGGUAUAGACCCGAAACCCGGUGAUCUAGCCAUGGGCAGGUUGAAGGUUGGGUAACACUAACUGGAGGACCGAACCGACUAAUGUUGAAAAAUUAGCGGAUGACUUGUGGCUGGGGGUGAAAGGCCAAUCAAACCGGGAGAUAGCUGGUUCUCCCCGAAAGCUAUUUAGGUAGCGCCUCGUGAAUUCAUCUCCGGGGGUAGAGCACUGUUUCGGCAAGGGGGUCAUCCCGACUUACCAACCCGAUGCAAACUGCGAAUACCGGAGAAUGUUAUCACGGGAGAC
rnacentral:rRNA from 1 species